rnacentral:misc_RNA from 1 species
GGGGAUGACACCCCCCUGCAUCUGGCAGCCAGUCAUGGACACCGUGAUAUUGUACAGAAGCUAUUGCAGUACAAGGCAGACAUCAAUGCAGUGAAUGAACACGGGAAUGUGCCCCUGCACUAUGCCUGUUUUUGGGGCCAAGAUCAAGUGGCAGAGGACCUGGUGGCAAAUGGGGCCCUUGUCAGCAUCUGUAACAAGUAUGGAGAGAUGCCUGUGGACAAAGCCAAGGCACCCCUGAGAGAGCUUCUCCGAGAGCGGGCAGAGAAGAUGGGCCAGAAUCUCA